rnacentral:rRNA from 1 species
AAGCGGCGGCAGGCCUAACACAUGCAAGUCGAGCGGCAGCACAAGUGAGUUUACUCAUGAGGUGGCGAGCGGCGGACGGGUGAGUAAUGCCUAGGGAUCUGCCCAGGUCGAGGGGGAUAACAGUUGGAAACGACUGCUAAUACCGCAUACGCCCUACGGGGGAAAGGAGGGGACCUUUUGGCCUUCCGCGAUUGGAUGAACCUAGGUGGGAUUAGCUAGUUGGUGAGGUAAUGGCUCACCAAGGCGACGAUCCCUAGCUGUUCUGAGAGGAUGAUCAGCCACACUGGGACUGAGACACGGCCCAGACUCCUACGGGAGGCAGCAGUGGGGAAUAUUGCACAAUGGGGGAAACCCUGAUGCAGCCAUGCCGCGUGUGUGAAGAAGGCCUUCGGGUUGUAAAGCACUUUCAGUAGGGAGGAAAGGUUGUAAGUUAAUACCUUGCAGCUGUGACGUUACCUACAGAAGAAGGACCGGCUAACUCCGUGCCAGCAGCCGCGGUAAUACGGAGGGUCCAAGCGUUAAUCGGAAUUACUGGGCGUAAAGCGUGCGCAGGCGGUUUGUUAAGCGAAUGUGAAACCCCCGGGCUCAACUGGGAAUUGCAUUGGAACUGGCAAACUAGGUCUUGUACAGGGGGUAGAUUCCAAGUUUACCGUUGA